UGGUUUACCGAAAAGAUCCAGUUGGUAAGAGCAGUAGAUGUGCAUGGUAUGCUUAAGCGGGUAACCUUCUCACUGCCACGCCAAUACCAGUCCAUUGCAACGCCAAAAAAAA